GGGCCGGUGGCACAGCCUGGUAGUUGCGCCUGGUUGGCAAUCAGGAGGUCACGGGUUCAAAUCCCGUCCGGUCCA
rnacentral:tRNA from 1 species